GCCGGGCGUGGUGGCAGGUGCCUGUAAUCCAAGUCACUGGGAGGCUGAGGUUGGCGGAUCGAGUGAGCUGAGGAGCUCUGUGCUGCAGCACGCUAUGUAGAACGGGUGUCCACGCUAAGUUCGGUAUCGAUAUGGUGUUCCUGGGGGAGCCCGGGACCACCAGGUUGUCUAAGGAGGGGUGUACCGGCCCAGGUCGGAAACGGAGCAGGUCAAAUCCCCCGUUCCGUCCAGUAGUUGGAUAUCGCCUGUGAGUAGAUGCUGCAGUACAGCCUCGGCAAGACAUCGGAACCUGAUCUUU
ensembl:misc_RNA Metazoa_SRP Metazoan signal recognition particle RNA